AAAACGACUCUCGGCAACGGAUAUCUCGGCUCUCGCAUCGAUGAAGAACAUAGCGAAAUGCGAUACUUGGUGUGAAUUGCAGAAUCCCGUGAACCAUCGAGUCUUUGAACGCAAGUUGCGCCCCAAGCCUUCGGGCCGAGGGCACGUCUGCCUGGG
rnacentral:rRNA from 1 species